rnacentral:rRNA from 1 species
AUGAACGCUGGCGGCGUGCUUAACACAUGCAAGUCGAACGAAGCACCUCUCCCGAAGAUUGACACAGCUUGCUGUAGAUUGAUUCAUUUGAGGUGACUGAGUGGCGGACGGGUGAGUAACGCGUGGGUAACCUGCCUCAUAGAGGGGGACAACAGUUGGAAACGACUGCUAAUACCGCAUAGUAAGAAGAAUUCGCAUGUUUUCUUCUUGAAAGAUUUAUCGCUAUGAGACGGACCCGCGUCUGAUUAGCUAGUUGGUAAGGUAACGGCUUACCAAGGCGACGAUCAGUAGCCGGCUUGAGAGAGUGAACGGCCACAUUGGGACUGAGACACGGCCCAAACUCCUACGGGAGGCAGCAGUGGGGAAUAUUGCACAAUGGGGGAAACCCUGAUGCAGCGACGCCGCGUGAGUGAAGAAGUAUUUCGGUAUGUAAAGCUCUAUCAGCAGGGAAGAUAAUGACGGUACCUGACUAAGAAGCCCCGGCUAACUACGUG